rnacentral:rRNA from 1 species
GUCUUUUUGAAUUUUAUUUAUUUAAAGUCUAAUCUGCUCACUGAAUUAAAAUUUAAAGAGCCGCAGUAUUUUAACUGUGCAAAGGUAGCAUAAUAAUUUGUUUUUUAAUUGAAAACUAGAAUGAAUGAUUGAACGAGAUAUAUUCUGUCUCAAUUUUAAUUUAAUAUAAAUUAAUUUUUUAGUUAAAAAGCUAAAAUUAAUUUAAAAGACGAGAAGACCCUAUAGAUUUUUAUAUAAUUAUUAAUUAAUUUAUAUGUAUAUAAAUAUAUUUAUAUUUAUUAUUAAUUAUAUUUUAUUGGGGUAAUAAAAAAAUAAAAUAAACUUUUAUUAAAUAAAAACAUAAAUUAAUGAAAAUUUGAUCCAAAUUUAAUGAUUAAAAGAUUAAAUUACCUUAGGGAUAACAGCGUAAUUUUAAUUUUAAGUUCUUAUUGAAAUUAAAGAUUGCGACCUCGAUGUUGGAUUAAGAAAAAUUUUAAAAGUAGAUUUUUAAAUUUUAGGUCUGUUCGACCUUUAAAAUCUU